rnacentral:rRNA from 1 species
UACGUAGGGGGCAAGCGUUGUUCGGAAUGACUGGGCGUAAAGGGUGUGUAGGUGGUUUGAUAAGUUAGAUGUGUAAUACCCAGGGCUUAACUCGGGUGCUGCAUCUAAAACUGUUAGACUUGAGUACUGGAGAGGAUAGUGGAAUUCCUAGUGUAGCGGUGGAAUGCGUAGAUAUUAGGAGGAACACCAGUGGCGAAGGCGACUUUCUGGACUGUACCUGACGCUGAGGCGCGAAAGCGUGGGUAGCGAACGGG